UACGUAGGGCGCAAGCGUUGUCCGGAAUUAUUGGGCGUAAAGAGCUCGUAGGCGGUCUGUCGCGUCUGUUGUGAAAGCCCGGGGCUUAACCCCGGGUCUGCAUUCGAUACGGGCAGGCUAGAGUGUGGUAGGGGAGAUCGGAAUUCCUGGUGUAGCGGUGAAAUGCGCAGAUAUCAGGAGGAACACCGGUGGCGAAGGCGGAUCUCUGGGCCAUUACUGACGCUGAGGAGCGAAAGCGUGGGGAGCGAACAGG
rnacentral:rRNA from 1 species